CCUGUAGCAGUAACAGAAAAAUAUACUUGUCCACUGAAUUAAAAAAAAUAAAAGAGUUUAUACUAACGGAAGGAAUAUUAAGCCAUUUCGAUGUUAAGCAUUUCGUUAUAAAAAAAAUUAUUAAAGAAAAAAAAAAUAGCAUACUUCUUACAAAAGCAGAAAAAUCAUUUGAAUUUAUACAAACUUGUACUUCUUUCAUUGUACACCCUGAUGGGCAAACAGAAGAAAAAGAAAAAAAUAAAAAUUCUUUUGUAAAUGAAAAAGUACAAAAUAUAUAUAACAAUUCGAAUAGUAAACACUUGGAACAGACCAAGUGUCUUGGUUUGGAUAAAAUGGACAAAAAAGGUAGGAUUACAACUGAAAGUGAAAUAAACGGAAAUGAAAUAAACGGAAAUGAAGUAAACGAAAGUGAAAUAAACGAAAGUGAAAUAAACGAAAGUGAAAUAAACGAAAGUGAAAUAAACGAAAGUGAACUAAACGAAAGUAAAAUAAACGGAAGUGAAAUAAACGAAAGUGUAACAGAAAAAAAAAAAUGUGAUAAUAUUACUAAUGCUGAUAGUGUUGACAAUAAUGUCGGAACUAGUGCUGUUAUGGAAUCACCCAUUUUAAAAAACGUAAAUCAUUGUUUUAUCACUAUAAAUAAUAAUAAUAUGGACAAAAAAGACGAAUUAAGAUAUAAAAUGAAAGUAUUAUUAAAAAUAAUAAACAAAAUACAAUUCCAACUUUGCUUUUUAUUUAUUAACAAUACAUACGAAGGAAUACAAAUAACAANNNNNNNNNNAUACAACAACAACAAUGAUGCCUGUAGCAGUAACAGAAAAAUAUACUUGUCCACUGAAUUAAAAAAAAUAAAAGAGUUUAUACUAACGGAAGGAAUAUUAAGCCAUUUCGAUGUUAAGCAUUUCGUUAUAAAAAAAAUUAUUAAAGAAAAAAAAAAUAGCAUACUUCUUACAAAAGCAGAAAAAUCAUUUGAAUUUAUACAAACUUGUACUUCUUUCAUUGUACACCCUGAUGGGCAAACAGAAGAAAAAGAAAAAAAUAAAAAUUCUUUUGUAAAUGAAAAAGUACAAAAUAUAUAUAACAAUUCGAAUAGUAAACACUUGGAACAGACCAAGUGUCUUGGUUUGGAUAAAAUGGACAAAAAAGGUAGGAUUACAACUGAAAGUGAAAUAAACGGAAAUGAAAUAAACGGAAAUGAAGUAAACGAAAGUGAAAUAAACGAAAGUGAAAUAAACGAAAGUGAAAUAAACGAAAGUGAAAUAAACGAAAGUGAACUAAACGAAAGUAAAAUAAACGGAAGUGAAAUAAACGAAAGUGUAACAGAAAAAAAAAAAUGUGAUAAUAUUACUAAUGCUGAUAGUGUUGACAAUAAUGUCGGAACUAGUGCUGUUAUGGAAUCACCCAUUUUAAAAAACGUAAAUCAUUGUUUUAUCACUAUAAAUAAUAAUAAUAUGGACAAAAAAGACGAAUUAAGAUAUAAAAUGAAAGUAUUAUUAAAAAUAAUAAACAAAAUACAAUUCCAACUUUGCUUUUUAUUUAUUAACAAUACAUA
ensembl:lncRNA